UACGAAGGGGGCUAGCGUUGUUCGAAAUUACUGGGCGUAAAGCGCACGUAGGCGGAUCUUUAAGUCAGGGGUGAAAUCCCGAGGCUCAACCUCGGAACUGCCUUUGAUACUGGGGAUAUCGAGUCCGGGAGAGGUGAGUGGAACUGCGAGUGUAGAGGUGAAAUUCGUAGAUAUUCGCAAGAACACCAGUGGCGAAGGCGGCUCACUGGCCCGGUACUGACGCUGAGGUGCGAAAGCGUGGGGAGCAACAGGG
rnacentral:rRNA from 1 species